UUUUUGAGCUUGCUAAUAAACGCUGCUAAUCGAAUCCGUCUGUUUUCAAUAUGAAAAGACAAUUAAAUUAACUCGGGGUGUUCUUUGGUUUCUAGGCACACAAAGGAAAAUAUGUAGCUUUAUUAUUAUUAUUAUUAUUUUUUUUACAGUUUAUAUGCGAAACUGUAAAAAUCUGAAUCCCACGCUUAUAUAUUCAGACUUUGGACAAGACUGAGAAAAUAAUGCUUUAUUGUAUAAUAGGCAAGUAUGACAGUUCUGGGGGUGGGGGUGUGGGGGUGUGGGGGGGAACGGUUUCAUUUUGGAAAAAUAAACAGAGCAUAAACAAAAUAUAUGUACAUAAUUAAGGAAAUUUGGAAAUAAUAGUAAUUUGGUAAUUAAUAAUAAAAGUAGGAAUGAGCGAGAAAGUAAAAAAAAAGAACCUGCAGAGAGAGACUGGAAUGCAACGUAGCAAAAAUACUGUCAUUGUAAAAACAUUGGCAAAAACACACUUAUUACGAAUACAACAGCUAACAGAAGCUUAUAUUUUCCAUGUGUAUACUUAUAUACAAGUAAAAAACAAAAAAAAAAAAAAAAAAACAUGCAUAGUUUCUGUUUUAUGGUAUUUAAUAGUACCAAGUCGUAUCAGAUUUUAGAACAUUCAUAUCGAAGUAAGCUAAUAGGAUUUUACACAGCUUAGUCGCAUCAGUUUCUUUUAGCAUAUGAUAAAAUUAUUACUAAAAACAUAUAAUGAAAUAUAAUGACUCAGAAGCUCUGAAUGACCCAAUAAUUGGUCCUAAGCAACUUGGAACAAUUUAGAGUUUCAGUUUGGAAGUGAAAUGCAGAGUGGAGUAUUGUAGAGUAUAGAGGAGUGGAGCAGAGUAUUUUAGAGUAUUAUGGAGGAGAGUAUUGUAGAGUGGAGUAGAAUAGAGUAUGUAUAGUGGAGCAGAAUAUUGUAGAGUAUAGUAGAGCAGAGCAUUGUAGCGUAGAGCAGAGUAUUGUAGAGCAGAGUAUUGUAAAGUAGAGCAGAGUGUUGUUAAGUAGAGCAGAGUGUUGUAGAGUAGAGCAGAGUAUUGUAGAGCAGAGUAUUGUAAAGUAGAGCAGAGUAUUGUAGAGUAGAGCAGAGUAUUGUAGAGCAGAGUAUUGUAAAGUAGAGCAGAGUGUUGUUAAGUAGAGCAGAGUGUUGUAGAGUAGAGCAGAGUAUUGUAGAGCAGAGUAUUGUAAAGUAGAGCAGAGUGUUGUUAAGUAGAGCAGAGUGUUGUAGAGAUAGAGCAGAGUAUUGUAGAGCAGAGUAUUGUAAAGUAGAGCAGAGUGUUGUAGAGCAGAGUAUUUAGAGUAGAGCAGAGUAUUGUAGAGCAGAGUAUUGUAGAGCAGAGUAUUGUAGAGUAGAGCAGAGUAUUGUAGAGUAGAGCAGAGUAUUGUAGAGCAGAGUAUUGUAAAGUAGAGCAGAGUGUUGUAGAGUAGAGCAGAGUAUUGUAGAGUAGAGCAGAGUAUUGUAGAGUAGAGCAGAGUAUUGUAGAGCAGAGUAUUGUAGAGUAGAGCAGAGUGUUUGUAGAGCAGAGUAUUGUAAAGUAGAGCAGAGUAUUGUAAAGUAGAGCAGAGUAUUGUAAAGUAGAGCAGAGUGUUGUAGAGUAGAGCAGAGUAUUGUAGAGCAGAGUAUUGUAGAGUGGAGCAGAGUGUGUAGAGUAGAGCAGAGUAUUGUAGAGCAGAGUGUUGUAGAGUAGAGCAGAGUAUUGUAGAGUAGAGCAGAGUAUUGUAGAAGCAGAGUGUUGUAGAGUAGAGCAUUGUAGAGUAGAGCAGAGUAUUGUAGAGUAGAGCAGAGUAUUGUAGAGUAGAGCAGAGUAUUGUAGAGCAGAGUGUGUAGAGUAGAGCAGAGUAUUGUAAAGUAGAGCAGAGUAUUGUAAAGUAGAGCAGAGUAUGUAGAGUAGAGAAGACUGUUGUAGAGCAGAGUAUUGUAGAGUAGAGAAGACUGUUGUAGAGCAGAGUAUUGUAGAGUAGAGAAGACUGUUGUAGAGCAGAGUAUUGUAGAGUAGAGAAGACUGUUGUAGAGCAGAGUAUUGUAGAGUAGAGCAGAGUAUUGUAGCAUGGAACAGAGUACUAUAGAGUAGAGAAGAACAGAGUAUUGUAGAGCAGAGUAUUGUAGCGUGGAACAGAGUACUGUAGAGCGGAGCAGAGUAUUGUAGAGCGGAGCAGAGUAUUGUAGAGCGGAGCAGAGUAUUGUAGAGCGGAGCAGAGUAUAGUAGAGCAGAGUAUAGUAGAGCAGAGUGAAGUAGAGUAUUGUAGAGUGGAAUAGAGUGGAGCAGAGUAUUGUAGAUUAGAGUGGAGUGGAGUAGAGUAUUGUACAGUAGAGUGGAACAGAGUAGAGUGGGUCACUCCAGAUCUUCUGUAUGUUCAGUAAGGCACUAAUAUACUGGCUUAGGGCACUUCACUAGUGCACUGCAAAGGGAAAAUUUCGGAAAUCUGGCUCAAUUUCCCUACGCGCGAUAUGUACAGCAAUGAAAAGAAAGAAAACGACACAAAUCGCAAGAAAAGAAUGUAAAUAAAAAGACGCACUGAAGUGCUAGUGUGUGAUCAUUUUAAUAUGAUUCACUUCUUCGACAAACCUGAACACGUUGUUAGUGCUCAAUAAUUUAAUGGCCGCGUUCUACAAAAGCCGAAGCCUCACAAUGAACGCCACCUUGGCUUCUAGUCACACAUCCCUGCAGCCUUACAUUGUUCUCUGUACACUGAAGACUACAGUGUACUACUUAACAUUACUGCGUUAGGUGUUACGGAUCUGUUCAAAUCUGUUUCUCAAAAACGUCACGGUGUCAAUUAGGCCGAUAAUCAGCUGUGUUAUAUACACAGUACAGUCCCCUCCAAAAGUAUUGGAACGGCAAGGCCAAUUCUAUUGUUUUCGCUGUACACUGAAGACAUUCGGGUUUGAGAUCAAAAGAUGAAUAAGACCGGCUUUUAUUUUCCUCAUGUUUACAUCCAGAUGUCUUAAACAACGCAGAACCUUUUGUUUGAAUCCACUCAUUUAUUCAAGCGGUCAAAA
ensembl:lncRNA